GUCGUGCUGGCCUAAUGGUUAAGGCAUCAGACUUCGAAUCUGAGGAUUGCAGGUUCGAGUCCUGCGUACGACU
rnacentral:tRNA from 1 species